CAUGUAGUGAGUUUGUCUGUAUUGAACCUAUGUGUGUCAGUGAGCUUGUGUGUUGGUGUCAGUGAGCGUGUCUGUAGCGUGCUUGUGUGUGUCAUUGACCUUGUCUGUAGUGAGCUUGUGUGUGUCAUUGAGCUUGUCUUUAGUCAGCUUGUGUGUAUCAGUGAUCUUGACUGAGUGAGCCUGUGUUUGAGCUUGUAAUGAACAUGUCUGUACUGUGCUUGAGUGUGUGUCAG